GGUUUGGUAAUCAGUCCAGAAUUUUGAUGGAUUAAGUUAUUUGUUAUCUGGCAACGUAGAAGUUGUCUUUCACGUUCAACUCGCGAGGAAAGUGAAAAUUUUAAAGAACUUACGAAAAACCCAAAUUGAUAGUAAUUUUUAUCAAGAAAUUUUACAUAAUAGUUUUAGGGGCUUAUUAAGAAUAUAUUUGUAACCUAAUUGGAAUGCGAGAGUAAAAUUUGAGAGCGUCGGUUAGAUCAAGGAAGGUGCUGGAUGUGAUUGACAGAAAGCAGGGCAAGGCAGGGGACAGACAUUAGUAUUAUACGGUGAAGAAGAUAUUGUCAAAGACGGGUGACUUCGCGAAGUAAGUACUGGGCCGAACUGAAAGAAGAUUUUAACCAGUGGCAUACAUGAAGUUAGUUUUCAAAAAUAAUUUUAACUUAUAGACGACAAAUUUAAUAUUUCGAGCAUAUUUAAGCAAGACAAAGUACAAGUGAUCAAGGCAGGAAGUGUCAAACAAGUGCUGUGCGGUUAACGACACGAAGAAGUGCUAAGCGAUAGAGUUACAACAAAUACCAAAUAAGGCCAGGACAAAGAAUAUUGUCAUUUUAAGCGCUUAAUUUUUGUUUCAUACAAAAUUUGCGUGCUUGUUCACAAACAAAAAGCAAUGGAUAAUUCCGCAAGUGCCAUUGUUGAACAGCAGAAGUUAGCAACAACACAGAAAUCAAAGAAAAGGCCGAAGAGUAAAAGGGCAAAUGGGAAGGUGCCUGCCAACGGUCCCUCAAAUGACAACUUGCCGGAUGUUGCGAAGGACGUUAAAAAAGUUACGAAUGUUAGUGGUGAAGCAGAAGUCACAGCGAAUGGGAUUUCAAAAAUAUUAGAACAACAUUUACACAUAACAGGAGAUGGUCUACAAAUAAACGGUACUGUUGGGAAGUGCAGCAGUCAUACUGCACAGAAUGGGCAUCAUACACCCGCAACUAAUAUUGCAAAGAACAGCACGAGGACGGCCAAUGUACAAACACAACAUCAACGGUCAGCCUUGCAAGAAAUAUCAACGUCUGGUGCUUUGAAAAAAUCAAAAAGUAAAAACAACAAGCAAAAGAACAAAGAAACUAAUUUAGAAACUGAAAAUAAUAAGUCACCACAGACGAGUCAUAAUAGCAAUGGCGAGUCAUCUGCAUUAAUGUACACAAGUCCGACGGAAGCAACGCUCAAACCAACGGAAGCAGAAAUGGUGCAAUUGAAAAAUGGUUUCCAUGAUUUCGUUAAUGAACAAGACGAAACGUUGCAUAGUAAAGAAACGCAACAAAAAUGCGCAGUCAGUGUUGAAAUAACUAAACCCACAACCAACAAUACUGAACCGAAUAUAUUAAAUGCAGCAACGGCGAGAGGAGUUGCGGCAACUGCAGCGGUAUCAAUGUCUGACACCAGCUUACAACACAAACAAUUGUCCACACCAAUAGUGGUACAACAAAAUACUAUAUAUGCUAACCCUCCUACUGCAAUACACAAUACGAACAACACUGCCAAGCAGCACACAGACGAUGCGCAGCAAACUGAUCAAAGUAACCCUAAGGAAGCGCCGCUAAGCGUAUCAACAAUGCCCGCACUGGCUGCGACAACCGAAUUGGAUUUGAGUAAUGUGCAUAUUGAGUAUAAGGAAUAUGAAUCUGAGUUGCAAAUGCAUGAUAUAAUGCGUCUAAUACAAGCCGAAUUAUCGGAGCCUUACUCUAUUUAUACGUAUCGUUAUUUCAUAUACAAUUGGCCGAAAUUGUGUUUUCUGGCAGCGCAUGGCAAUGAAUAUAUUGGUGCCAUAGUAUGUAAGCUUGAUAUGCACAGAAACGUGAGGCGUGGCUACAUAGCAAUGUUGGCAGUGCGUAAGGAAUAUAGGAAACUUAAGAUUGGCACAACAUUGGUGCAAAAAGCAAUUGAGGCUAUGCUUGCCGACAAUGCUGAUGAAGUUGUGCUCGAAACCGAAAUGCGUAACGUGCCCGCUUUGCGCUUGUAUGAGAACUUGGGGUUUGUUCGUGAUAAACGCUUGUUUCGCUACUACUUAAAUGGCGUCGAUGCGUUGCGUUUAAAAUUAUGGUUUAGAUGAGAUUGUGUUUAGUUGAAUUUCAUUACCACAUUGCAUGCACACAAUAUAAAUGCAUAUAUAUUGAAUUAUAACAUAAUAAUUUGUAUGCGAAGCAAAUUCGGUUGAGACAUUCUCUUUCACUUUUACAUACAUACAAACGUUCAUGUUUAAUUAAAAAAAGGCAAAACAACAAAAAAAACAAACAAACGUAAAUAUUAUGAAAAUCAGAAAAAUUAUAUGAAAUAUAACCUGCAAAUAGUUGGUUUCUGUUAUAAUUUUUUUUUUUAACCGAACUUAUAAACAAUUGCUGUAAGCACUAUAAAUAUUUGAGCAGAAUGUCAAAUUUACCGAAUUUAUGCGUGUUGUUAUUUCUAAAAAAAAAUUUUUUUUUUCCUUUUGGAAUGACAUGCGCAGUGGAGCUUUUAUAUUCAGUCUUAAAGUCUUUUAAGCGGUUGAAGUAAAAGGGAAGCUAUUUUUAAGUCAAUAUAAUGCUAGUUUCUGUUGUAUGAUUAUCAGUUGACACAUUCAACAUAUAAAACGAAUUGAGUUAUUCACGGAAAGUGUUUAUUUGUUAAGUGACUUUAUUUAAUUAAAUUAAUUUAUAUUAAGGUCUUUUGCAGCUGAUCUUUAAAAUUUGAUUUUAUUAUUACAUAUAAUUUACUUUUCAUUUAUAAGUCACUCAAGUUGACUGAGUUUCUGUUAUGGUUUUUAUUUAUUUUUCUAUUAAAAAUUAUUAUUUUGCAUUUUAAGUUCUAUUUUCAUUUGCAUACGCAAAAAAAUGUCUAGUGCUACUUAAAAAGAAAGCUUUGUAAAUAAAUAAAAAAAUAACAAACGCGUUUAUUUUGUAAUAAUAUCGACGCAUACGUGAGGGUGUCAAAACUCUCCCCAUAAUCGGUGAUUUUAAUUCAAAUUCAGAAGAAUUUAUGAAGUAACAUCAAUAUUAAAAAAAAGUUGGAAGGAAAAGUUCCACCAGAAAGAAAUAUUGGAUCCGCCACUGACUUAAGCAAUUAUUUAUUUGCAUGAAAUAAAAACAAAAUUAAGUAAAAAAAUGUAAAUCAAAAAUGAAAAAAAAAACAAUAUUAAUAAAAACAAAUAAAAUAUAACUGCGAACACUUAAAAUUAUUUGGUUGGAAAACAGAGAUACUACAUAAAAAAUAAGUAUAACUAAAAUAUACUUUAUAAAUUAAAUAAAAGCAGAGAUGUUACACAAGCAGAAUUUGAUUAGUUUCGAUGUAUGACAAAGAAAGAAAUUGUGUGUGUAUACAUACAUACUAUAUAUAAUUAAAAAAAAUUGUUUCAUAGCGACAUUUUGCGCAUUGUAGAAAUUGCACACAACAUUGUAAAUAAAAAAUGUAAAAUAACACGCAAAAUCAUAUCUAAAAUACGCCUUCUGCAAAGACUUUGUAUAUACAUAUGCUUGAUUAAUAAUAAUAACUAAGCCGAAUUAAGUAGUUUAUAAAAUUUAAUAAUUUUGUUUUACACAAAUACCCAUACCAUACAUAAACAUGCUCUCUUGCGUUUAAAUUUCUGAUACACAUGUAGUCAAGAUUAUCACAUAAAUGCAUGUUAACACAAUCAAAAAACAAAAACAAAAAAAAACAUUAAUUUUCAUUAAAAAAUCGUUUAAAUUUAAAUUAAAAUACAUAGUUGCAUCAAAUUUAUGGUUAUUUUCUAAAAUUUUAUCGAUAGCCACUUAUCGGCACAAAAUAUUGCAUAUCCCUAUUUAAACCGCCAUUUUGAAGGAAGUAAAUUUGUCAAGGCGGCAGUUGAAGCGUAUCCAUUUGUUGAAAAUUCUUAUUAGUUUAUUAAUUUUUAAGUUUUAUUUUAUUAAUUUUUUGUACAGUUUAUCGCGGCAUAACAGUGCUUUGAAAUACAUAAAGAGAAUUUAAUAAGCAAAUAUUAAACAGUAAAUGUUGGCAAUUUGCAACAAUACACAAGAACGCUGACCCAGUUAUUUUUAUAAUGACUUGUGAUGGAGUAAAGUUACACAAUUAACUGCUAUAUAAAUUUAACUUAUUAAGUACAUUUUAUAUAUUUUUAUUGCUAAUUAAAAAAUAAAAAGCUUUUGCGAGCAUUGGGCACUUUAUUCCAAAGAGCCUUAAGCUGAGACACCUGAAACAGAAAUUUAUUUAUUUAUUAUUUAUUAAUAUUCUCUGGUAAUAGUAAGGUUAAGUGUAAUCAAAUAAGAAAAAUUAUUAAUUGGUAUAAAAUGUAAUAAUAUGAAAAGCAUAAAAGUGAAGAAAACUCUUUAUAUAAGUGAAUCAAACGAAAAAAAAUAUAUAUAUAUUUAUUUAGCAAACAAUUAAUACGUAAGUUCAAUCUUUUAUAGCAAUGUAAAAUUAGUUGGCAUUAGGAAAUAAUUGUGCAUAUUGAAAAAAUAAAAUAAACGCAAAUAUAAAGUAUCAUGUGUAUGUACCAAGAUGUAAUAAGAUAAAUGUGCAUAUAUACACCCCUACUAAAAAGUGCGCUAAAUAUUUAAUGCAAUAAGUGUAAGAAAAGAAAAGAAGUGUUGAUAAUGAUAAUAAAUUAAGCAAUGAUUACAAAU